GGCAAUCUGCCCUGCACUCUGGGACAAGCCCUGGAAACGGGGUCUAAUACCGGAUACUGAACCUGCCUGGGCAUCCAGGUGGUUCGAAAGCUCCGGCGGUGCAGGAUGAGCCCGCGGCCUAUCAGCUUGUUGGUGAGGUAAUGGCUCACCAAGGCGACGACGGGUAGCCGGCCUGAGAGGGCGACCGGCCACACUGGGACUGAGACACGGCCCAAACUCCUACGGGAGGCAGCAGUGGGGAAUAUUGCACAAUGGGCGCAAGCCUGAUGCAGCGACGCCGCGUGAGGGAUGACGGCCUUCGGGUUGUAAACCUCUUUCAGCAGGGAAGAAGCGAAAGUGACGGUACCUGCAGAAAAAGCGCCGGCUAACUACGUGCCAGCAGCCGCGGUAAUACGUAGGGCGCGAGCGUUGUCCGGAAUUAUUGGGCGUAAAGAGCUCGUAGGCGGCUUGUCACGUCGGUUGUGAAAGCCCGGGGCUUAACCCCGGGUCUGCAGUCGAUACGGGCAGGCUAGAGUUCGGUAGGGGAGAUCGGAAUUCCUGGUGUAGCGGUGAAAUGCGCAGAUAUCAGGAGGAACACCGGUGGCGAAGGCGGAUCUCUGGGCCGAUACUGACGCUGAGGAGCGAAAGCGUGGGGAGCGAACAGGAUUAGAUACCCUGGUAGUCCACGCCGUAAACGGUGGGCACUAGGUGUGGGCGACAUUCCACGUCGUCCGUGCCGCAGCUAACGCAUUAAGUGCCCCGCCUGGGGAGUACGGCCGCAAGGCUAAAACUCAAAGGAAU
rnacentral:rRNA from 1 species